UACGUAGGGUGCGAGCGUUGUCCGGAUUUAUUGGGCGUAAAGAGCGUGUAGGCGGCCAGGUAGGUCCGUUGUGAAAACUCGAGGCUCAACCUCGAGACGUCGAUGGAAACCAUCUGGCUAGAGUCCGGAAGAGGAGAGUGGAAUUCCUGGUGUAGCGGUGAAAUGCGCAGAUAUCAGGAAGAACACCUAUGGCGAAGGCAGCUCUCUGGGACGGUACUGACGCUGAGACGCGAAAGCGUGGGGAGCGAACAGG
rnacentral:rRNA from 1 species